rnacentral:rRNA from 1 species
AAGCCCCAGUAAACGGCGGCCGUAACUAUAACGGUCCUAAGGUAGCGAAAUUCCUUGUCGGGUAAGUUCCGACCCGCACGAAAGGCGUAACGAUUUGGGCACUGUCUCAACAACAGACUCGGUGAAAUUGUAAUUCCGGUGAAGAUGCCGGAUACCUGCGACAGGACGGAAAGACCCCAUGGAGCUUUACUGUAGCUUGACAUUGGGUCUUGGUACUACAUGUACAGGAUAGGUGGGAGGCUUUGAAACCAGGACGCCAGUUUUGGCGGAGCCAUCCUUGGGAUACCACCCUUGUAGUACUGGGACUCUAACCAUAGGCCAUGAAUCUGGUCUUGGGACACUGUCAGGUGGGCAGUUUGACUGGGGCGGUCGCCUCCCAAAAGGUAACGGAGGCGCUCAAAGGUUCUCUCAGUACGGUCGGAAAUCGUACGUAGAGUGUAAAGGCAAAAGAGAGCUUGAUUGCAAGACAUACAGGUCGAGCAAGGAUGAAAAUCGGACUUAGUGAUCCGGUGGUUCUGCGUGGAAGGGCCAUCGCUCAACGGAUAAAAGCUACCCUGGGGAUAACAGGCUUAUCUCCCCCAAGAGUCCACAUCGACGGGGAGGUUUGGCACCUCGAUGUCGGCUCAUCACAUC